AUUGAACGCUGGCGGCAUGCCUUACACAUGCAAGUCGAACGGCAGCACGGGAGCAAUCCUGGUGGCGAGUGGCGAACGGGUGAGUAAUAUAUCGGAACGUGCCCGGUCGUGGGGGAUAACGUAGCGAAAGCUACGCUAAUACCGCAUACGAUCUACGGAUGAAAGCGGGGGAUCGCAAGACCUCGCGCGAUUGGAGCGGCCGAUAUCAGAUUAGGUAGUUGGUGAGGUAAAGGCUCACCAAGCCGACGAUCUGUAGCUGGUCUGAGAGGACGACCAGCCACACUGGGACUGAGACACGGCCCAGACUCCUACGGGAGGCAGCAGUGGGAAUUUUGGACAAUGGGCGCAAGCCUGAUCCAGCAAUGCCGCGUGCAGGAUGAAGG
rnacentral:rRNA from 1 species